rnacentral:lncRNA from 10 species
CAAACAAAAUUAGAGGAAUACUAAAUCCAGAUUCUGGGAAAUGUCUGAUGAGUUUUUCUAGUUCCACAAUAGUACAUGCCUCUCUGAGAGAUAGGAAUAUACAUUCCUGACAGAAAGAAUCACUCUGCCUUCAACAGUGCUAAACAAUAGUGGGCUAGUAAACCAGCUUGCUGAAAACAAACAAAAUAACCCAAAAAUCCCUGGUCUACAGCAAUUUGGCAUUUUCUGUGGUGUAGACACUCCCACAGUGGUCUAUCAGCAGAAUUUAACAACAGCUUGCAAAAUUCCCAAAUGUUAGUUCUUGUAAACCUCUACUAGCUGACUUUUGGCACGCACUGGCAGAAAACCGCUAACUAAUUCUAUUAUAUGUGUGCUCCACACAGAACCCAACCUGCUGUUUCUUCUUUAUUUCUUCAUACACUUGGGUUAUAACAUAGCUUAUUAGGCUAUAGCUUUCUUUGGGGAUGUUCUUGCCUCAGUAAUAAAUCUGGAUCAACUUUAUAGGAUGUAGGAGUUUCCUGAAACUCUAACAAUCACAUACCUACAAACCAUCUCUGGAUGGUUUCUGUAAAAGGCAAAUCGACUUGUCAUGUGUUAAUUGUUACUGGCUUUGCUCAGAGAGCAGCCAGAUAACAAAAGCCCCAUUAUUUAUUGACAGCAGCGAUUUCUGACAAAUUUUAGACAUCCCUUCGGCCUUGUGAUUAUUUCAUACCUAAAUGUCUUUUCUUCCCUUAUGAAUCAUGCUGCUGUUUCUUCCUGGAG